rnacentral:rRNA from 1 species
GACGAACGCUGGCGGCGUGCUUAACACAUGCAAGUCGAACGGAAAGGCCCUGCUUUUGUGGGGUGCUCGAGUGGCGAACGGGUGAGUAACACGUGAGUAACCUGCCCUUGACUUUGGGAUAACUUCAGGAAACUGGGGCUAAUACCGGAUAGGAGCUCCUGCUGCAUGGUGGGGGUUGGAAAGUUUCGGCGGUUGGGGAUGGACUCGCGGCUUAUCAGCUUGUUGGUGGGGUAGUGGCUUACCAAGGCUUUGACGGGUAGCCGGCCUGUGAGGGUGACCGGCCACAUUGGGACUGAGAUACGGCCCAGACUCCUACAGGAGGCAGCAGUGGGGAAUAUUGCACAAUGGGCGGAAGCCUGAUGCAGCAACGCCGCGUGCGGAAUGACGGCCUUCGGGUUGUAAACCGCUUUCGCCUGUGACGAAGCGUGAGUGACGGUAAUGAGUAAAGAAGCACCGGCUAACUACGUG